AGGGUUCGAUUCUGGCUCAGGAUGAACGCUGGCGGCGUGCUUAACACAUGCAAGCCGAACGAGCUUACUUUCACGAUCCCCUCGGGGGUGACGAGUUGUAAGCGAGUGGCGGACGGGUGAGUAACGCGUGGGCAACCUGCCCCAUACAGGGGGAUAACAGUUGGAAACGACUGACAAUACCGCAUAAGCGCACAGUAUCGCAUGGUACGGUGUGAAAAAACUCCGGUGGUAUGGGGAUGGGCCCGCGUCUGAUUAGCUAGUUGGUGAGGUAACGGCCCACCAAGGCGACGAUCAGUAGCCGACCUGAGAGGGUGACCGGCCACAUUGGGACUGAGACACGGCCCAGACUCCUACGGGAGGCAGCAGUGGGGAAUAUUGCACAAUGGGGGAAACCCUGAUGCAGCCGACGCCGCGUGAGUGAUGAAGUAUUUCGGUAUGUAAAGCUCUAUCAGCAGGGAAGAACAAUGACGGUACCUGACUAAGAAGCCCCGGCUAACUACGUGCCAGCCGCCGC
rnacentral:rRNA from 1 species